rnacentral:rRNA from 1 species
GGAUCGAAUUGUUGGUCGUGCUUCGGUACGUACUGGCAUUAUUGGUUCCUGCCUUCUGAAGAACCGCGAUGUCAUUAAUUUGGUGUCGUGGGGAAUCAGGACUGUUACUUUGAAAAAUUAGAGUGUUUAAAGCAGGCACACGCUUGAAUACAUUAGCAUGGAAUAAUGAAAUAGGACGUUUGAUUCUAUUUUGUUGGUUUCUAGGAUUGACGUAAUGAUUAAUAG